rnacentral:rRNA from 1 species
UACGUAGGUGGCAAGCGUUGUCCGGCAUUAUUGGGCGUAAAGCGCGCGCAGGCGGUCCUUUAAGUCUGAUGUGAAAGCCCACGGCUCAACCGUGGAGGGUCAUUGGAAACUGGGGGACUUGAGUGCAGAAGAGGAGAGUGGAAUUCCACGUGUAGCGGUGAAAUGCGUAGAGAUGUGGAGGAACACCAGUGGCGAAGGCGACUCUCUGGUCUGUAACUGACGCUGAGGCGCGAAAGCGUGGGGAGCAAACAGG